UUUUGAUUGCUGCUCAGCAAGCGUGGUGAAAAGAACAGGUUGUCGAGUAGCAAUCAAAGAC
rnacentral:pre_miRNA from 1 species